rnacentral:rRNA from 1 species
CAGUAGCCACGGGAAUACGAAGGGGGCUAGCGUUGUUCGGAAUCACUGGGCGUAAAGAGCACGUAGGCGGAUCUUUAAGUCAGGGGUGAAAUCCCGAGGCUCAACCCCGGAACUGCCUUUGAUACUGGGGAUCUCGAGUCCGGGAGAGGUGAGUGGAACUGCGAGUGUAGAGGUGAAAUUCGUAGAUAUUCGCAAGAACACCAGUGGCGAAGGCGGCUCACUGGCCCGGAACUGACGCUGAGGUGCGAAAGUGUGGGGAGCGAACAGGAUUAGAUACCCCGGUAGUCCCUGUCUCUUAUAC